rnacentral:tRNA from 1 species
GCGGUGCUGGUGGAGCGGGUGCUGCCGCGCCGGCCGCUCGCGCCGGCGGUGCUCGCCGCGCUCGGCCUGUGGGGCGACGUG